rnacentral:rRNA from 5 species
GCCUGAUGACCAUAGCGAGUCGGUCCCACCCCUUCCCAUCCCGAACAGGACCGUGAAACGACUCUACGCCGAUGAUAGUGCGGAUUGCCCGUGUGAAAGUAGGUAAUCGUCAGGCU